ACGGGUAGGGGUAAAACGCGGAAACGGAACGGAACGGACUGGCGGAACCGGAAAAGCGGAAACGGAAUAGAGGGUAAAACGCGGAAUAGAGGGUAAAACGCGGAAAAGAGGGUAAAACGCGGAAUAGAGGGUAAAACGCGGAAAAGAGGGUAAAACGCGGAAAAGAGGGUAAAACGCGGAAAAGAGGGUAAAACGCGGAAAAGAGGGUAAAACGCGGAAAAGAGGGUAAAACGCGGAAAAGAGGGUAAAACGCGGAAAAAAGUUUUAGAAUAGUUUUUUCUUUACGAGGUAGGUAUGUAGCUUGGUAAAACUAUAUUUAUUUAAAAAUUAUACACACUAGUCCCUUCAACUAUGAUUUCCACGAAGGGCGUGUGUUAUGUCAUAAAAAAGCAACAUACAUUUACGAUAUUCUGAUACUAUUAACAACCCUGAUAACUCAAAUAUUAACCUCAAUUAACCUACAUAACUACUGGGGUGUAUGGGGAGGGGGGGGGGGCUAACACCCCAAUUAAAUAAUAGUAAAAAAGGGAGCACAAUUAACGUGCGGAGAAGGGGCCCUGGAAUUGCGGAACGUGGUAAAUAUUAAGGACUUUUCUGCAAAAUUGAAGUAAAAAAUGGUAUGAAUAACUACAUUUAAGCCCCCAUUAUGUAAAACUAGUGUAUGUAAACCCCUUCCCUCCCCGCCCAUUAUGUAAUUAUCCAUUAUGUAACAUGUUCCGGAAAAAUUUAACGCUAACAUUUUCCGGGAAAAUGUAUUCUAUAAAAGCUAUAAUCUGAAAUAUAAAGUCCAUUAGUAAGUUUUAUACCCAUCCAUACCUCAGUGCAAUUGUAAAUGUUUUGACUUUGUAUUUAUCUGCUUAUAAAAAUGGUAAAAUUUAGACAUCUUAUACAUAGAAUAAUGUCCCAAUAAACAAACUUAUAUCUUAAUAAACAAAACAACAAGGUCCAAGUCCAAACAGUCAACUGGUGCUGUGAUUAUGUACAAUUAAAUUAUUAUACCAAACUCUGUUAGAAAAUGUUUAUGCACAGGAGUUAAAUGUGCUCUAUCUGAGUCGGGUAUUGUCACCAUUUGUGGACUGAAAUAGGGCUGCUUCAUUUUAAUACAGCGGAGAUUUACGUGAAAGUACACAUUCUGGAAACUCUGGUGUCUCUCUCCUGUACUUAUCUGGCCAUUCCCUAUUCAUCUUCGUCACUAAUACUAGAUCGUACGGCUUUAUGGCAAUUGCCCCAAAAAGCAACUUUGCUUUCUUAAUUUAUUAAGAAAUCGGUCUUUAGCAAUUGACGAUUCGCCUUUAAGCUUUUUAACAACAACUGCAUGUCUCCUUGUCAUAAAUUGCGCGGUGUAUAGAUCCAUAGUACCACUGCCAAUUUCCUCCACGUUUCUUAAUGGAUUCCAGCUAAAUGUUGGCAAACCAUGUUCGAUUCGUCUUUUCUUAAUGAGCGAUGGAACUUUAAAGCUUCCCAGUUUCGACAUUUUAGUUGACAAUUAGGCACGAGCACGUGCCCGACUUUUUUAUUCACGAUUCAAACCAUGAAUUUCGUUCGUUUAGACUUCAGACACUUACACAAUAGAUAGUUAACAUCGGCGAGAACUUUGAAGUGUCGUAAAGAGAAGAAACGCUUCAAGUAUCAGUAAAACUAGUCCUUUCGUUAUCUGUGACUGUCAAAAGUACAGUGAUAAAUGAGAUAACAUUUCCCUGUCAGUUAUAUGAC